UUCUGCUGUGCCAUUACGUUCUGGGGUGAGCGUCUCCCUGAGCUGGGCUUCCCUGAUUCGUUGCUGAUGACAGAGCCAGUCUCACUGGGCGACCUGCUGGAGGUAACCAUAGCAACAAGGAGACCAAGCCCAGUUGGUGGCCUGGUGACCAGGGGGAUGUCUAAGUACCUUGUCUCUGAAGAAGGGAUGCAGGAUCCACGAACUGGCCUCAGCUCCCAGGAAAACCACGCUCACCUCCUCUGCUUAGCAUGUUAAGUUUAUUACUGAGUCUCAGGAAGGGUCCCCAGGACGUCUCUGGCACGGCAUCCUGCAUGCUAAAGACACAGUGAUGUCCCCAGGACCAUCCACCUCGCCUAUGGAUUGGUGGCAAAGGCUAGCUUUCUCAUUCCUCCUUGUCCCUUGGCAUGGUUGCAUUCUGCUCACACACACGCGCCGGGUUGUGAGAAGCGAUGCAGCCACUCUCUGCUCUCUCAAACACCGCAGUGUCCCUGGCUUGCAACAGCAGCACUGCAGUAAGACAGAAGCAGUUCCACUCUGCUGCUUUCCCAUGACAAAGGGGCUUUGGAGAUCUUAAGUGCUUCGCCUAGCCUUGUCGAGGGAGAAGACAAUCAGCAGCAUCAAACACAAGAGAAGGCAAUCAGCUCCAGGGACAUAAAUUGACUUGGUGUUUGACAUCAGCCAGGUAUCUUAGGAAGCAUGCUGCAUGGGACACCAAAGGAGCUGUGGAAAGCCACAGUCAUCUGUCUCAGCUCCAGACAGCUUCCAAGCCAGAAGGGAUGCUGCAAUCGUGUGUUGCCCAACUCAUCUUGGCAGAUGAGUAAGGUUUGGGUUUAAUCUGCAACACAAAGAUGCCACUUCCCACCCCGACGUGGCAUGUUUUACAUUCCUGGACCCAGCUGCAAUUAGAUUCUGGUAAUUAC